AACGAACGCUGGCGGCAUGCCUAACACAUGCAAGUCGAACGAGACCUUCGGGUCUAGUGGCGCACGGGUGCGUAACGCGUGGGAACCUGCCCUUAGGUUCGGAAUAACUCCCCGAAAGGGGUGCUAAUACCGGAUAAUGUCUUCGGACCAAAGAUUUAUCGCCUUUGGAUGGGCCCGCGUUGGAUUAGCUAGUUGGUAGGGUAAAAGCCUACCAAGGCGACGAUCCAUAGCUGGUCUGAGAGGAUGAUCAGCCACACUGGGACUGAGACACGGCCCAGACUCCUACGGGAAGCAGCAGUGGGGAAUAUUAGACAAUGGGCGAAAGCCUGAUCCAGCAAUGCCGCGUGAGUGAUGAAGGCCUUAGGGUUGUAAAGCUCUUUUAACCGGGAUGAUAAUGACAGUACCGGGAGAAUAAGCUCCGGCUAACUCCGUG
rnacentral:rRNA from 1 species